GGGCGUAAGGGCUCGCAGGCGGUUUCUUAAGUCUGAUGUGAAAGCCCCCGGCUCAACCGGGGAGGGUCAUUGGAAACUGGGAAACUUGAGUGCAGAAGAGGAGAGUGGAAUUCCACGUGUAGCGGUGAAAUGCGUAGAGAUGUGGAGGAACACCAGUGGCGAAGGCGACUCUCUGGUCUGUAACUGACGCUGAGGAGCGAAAGCGUGGGGAGCGAACAGGAUUAGAUACCCUGGUAGUCCACGCCGUAAACGAUGAGUGCUAAGUGUUAGGGGGUUUCCGCCCCUUAGUGCUGCAGCUAACGCAUUAAGCACUCCGCCUGGGGAGUACGGUCGCAAGACUGAAACUCAAAGGAAUUGACGGGGGCCCGCACAAGCGGUGGAGCAUGUGGUUUAAUUCGAAGCAACGCGAAGAACCUUACCAGGUCUUGACAUCCUCUGACAACCCUAGAGAUAGGGCUUUCCCUUCGGGGACAGAGUGACAGGUGGUGCAUGGUUGUCGUCAGCUCGUGUCGUGAGAUGUUGGGUUAAGUCCCGCAACGAGCGCAACCCUUGAUCUUAGUUGCCAGCAUUCAGUUGGGCACUCUAAGGUGACUGCCGGUGACAAACCGGAGGAAGGUGGGGAUGACGUCAAAUCAUCAUGCCCCUUAUGACCUGGGCUACACACGUGCUACAAUGGACAGAACAAAGGGCUGCAAGACCGCAAGGUUUAGCCAAUCCCAUAAAUCUGUUCUCAGUUCGGAUCGCAGUCUGCAACUCGACUGCGUGAAGCUGGAAUCGCUAGUAAUCGCGGAU
rnacentral:rRNA from 1 species